GAUGAACGCUGGCGGCGUGCCUAAUACAUGCAAGUCGAGCGAACAGACGAGGAGCUUGCUCCUCUGACGUUAGCGGCGGACGGGUGAGUAACACGUGGAUAACCUACCUAUAAGACUGGGAUAACUUCGGGAAACCGGAGCUAAUACCGGAUAAUAUAUUGAACCGCAUGGGUCAAUAGUGAAAGACGGUUUUGCUGUCACUUAUAGCUGGAUCCGCGCCGCAUUAGCUAGUUGGUAAGGUAACGGCUUACCAAGGCAACGAUGCGUAGCCGACCUGAGAGGGUGAUCGGCCACACUGGAACUGAGACACGGUCCAGACUCCUACGGGAGGCAGCAGUAGGGAAUCUUCCGCAAUGGGCGAAAGCUUGACGGAGCAACGCCGCGUGAGUGAUGAAGGUCUUCGGAUCGUAAAACUCUGUUAUUAGGGAAGAACAAAUGUGUAAGUAACUAUGCACGUAUUGACGGUACCUAAUCAGAAAGCCACGGCUAACUACGUG
rnacentral:rRNA from 1 species